CAAUUUCCAAUUCCUUAUCAUUGUGAUUGUCCAUAAAGGAAAGAUAUCACAUAAUAAAUAUUCCUGAUAUAUUGUUUAUAAAAAAUAGACAUGCUAAGGCAAAGGCAUCAUUAAUUACAUACGAAUAAUUUUUUUUGGAACUUGUGUGUUAUUAGUCCAAAGUCAUAACAUAACCUAAAUAAAAUAUGUCAAAAACACAAUGAAAAAAUAGACAUUACUUAAAUUUCUCCUUAAGAUAAAUAUAUAAAAAGAAGUAUAAAUGAACAUAUCAAAUCACUUCCAGUAGAAACUACAUAAAAGCUAUUUUUAUCAGAGCUUCGAUUGUAUGCGCAAUGCGAUGGCAUGCCAGCGUUAAAGAUAAAUGUACACUUCGGAGGCGGUGCUGAGCUUCUUUUCGAUAAGAUAAAGAAGCGUGAAGUAGAUAUUACCUGCCGUGGACAAAUAUUUACCCGAAUGUGAGAAGAAGGGUUGGACUAUAAGGGAACUUCUUGUGUGGAUCAAAGAAAAUUUAUUGCGAGAGAGACCGGAGUUGUUUUUACAGGGGGAGUCAGUUCGUCCUGGUAUACUGGUGCUGAUCAACGACACAGAUUGGGAGCUUCAUGGAGAGCUGGAGUACGAGCUGCAGCCGUCAGAUACCAUCACGUUCAUAUCGACUUUACAUGGCGGAUGAAUGAAGAUUCGUUACAGUUUAAUUGCCGCCGAUGUAUACCGCACUCUUAAUAAAAUAAUGAGCCAUAACAAAAUUCCCAAUUUGUGGGAAUCGUCAAACGACCAAUAUCUGUUUGCGACCUUUUAGUAUUUUCCCUUUUUUUUCAUGCUAUAAGUUUCAUUUUUUACCUAUCUUUAAUAAGCUCAAUUUUAUAGCAACUUCAAAAAAAGGUAGCAAACAAAAAUUUGUUUUCCGACGACUGCCACAAAUUAACGAUUUUGAAAUAGGUCAUUAUUUUAUUAAGAUGUUAAGUAUAAGUGUGA